rnacentral:rRNA from 1 species
GAUUAACGCUGGCGGCAUGCCUAAUACAUGCAAGUCGAACGAAGUAGUUUACUACUUAGUGGCGAACGGGUGAGUAACACGUAUCUAAUCUACCAUUUAGUGGGGAAUAACUGUUGGAAACGACAGCUAAUACCGCAUACUGUUUCUAAGAUGAUUUCUUAGAAAUGAAAGAAGCUUUCAAGCUUUGCUAAUUGAUGAGGAUGCGGCGCAUUAGCUAGUUGGUAGGGUAAUGGCCUACCAAGGCAAUGAUGCGUAGCCGAUCUGAGAGGAUGAACGGCCACAUUGGGACUGAGACACGGCCCAAACUUCUACGGAAGGCAGCAGUAGGGAAUAUUGGACAAUGGGGGCAACCCUGAUCCAGCCAUGCCGCGUGUGUGAAGA